rnacentral:rRNA from 5 species
AGAGUUUGAUCAUGGCUCAGAUUGAACGCUGGCGGCAGGCCUAACACAUGCAAGUCGAGCGGUAGCACAGAGAGCUUGCUCUCGGGUGACGAGCGGCGGACGGGUGAGUAAUGUCUGGGAAACUGCCUGAUGGAGGGGGAUAACUACUGGAAACGGUAGCUAAUACCGCAUAAUGUCGCAAGACCAAAGUGGGGGACCUUCGGGCCUCAUGCCAUCAGAUGUGCCCAGAUGGGAUUAGCUAGUAGGUGGGGUAACGGCUCACCUAGGCGACGAUCCCUAGCUGGUCUGAGAGGAUGACCAGCCACACUGGAACUGAGACACGGUCCAGACUCCUACGGGAGGCAGCAGUGGGGAAUAUUGCACAAUGGGCGCAAGCCUGAUGCAGCCAUGCCGCGUGUGUGAAGAAGGCCUUCGGGUUGUAAAGCACUUUCAGCGGGGAGGAAGGCGUUAAGGUUAAUAACCUUGGCGAUUGACGUUACCCGCAGAAGAAGCACCGGCUAACUCCGUGCCAGCAGCCGCGGUAAUACGGAGGGUGCAAGCGUUAAUCGGAAUUACUGGGCGUAAAGCGCACGCAGGCGGUCUGUCAAGUCGGAUGUGAAAUCCCCGGGCUCAACCUGGGAACUGCAUUCGAAACUGGCAGGCUAGAGUCUUGUAGAGGGGGGUAGAAUUCCAGGUGUAGCGGUGAAAUGCGUAGAGAUCUGGAGGAAUACCGGUGGCGAAGGCGGCCCCCUGGACAAAGACUGACGCUCAGGUGCGAAAGCGUGGGGAGCAAACAGGAUUAGAUACCCUGGUAGUCCACGCCGUAAACGAUGUCGAUUUGGAGGUUGUGCCCUUGAGGCGUGGCUUCCGGAGCUAACGCGUUAAAUCGACCGCCUGGGGAGUACGGCCGCAAGGUUAAAACUCAAAUGAAUUGACGGGGGCCCGCACAAGCGGUGGAGCAUGUGGUUUAAUUCGAUGCAACGCGAAGAACCUUACCUGGUCUUGACAUCCACAGAACUUUCCAGAGAUGGAUUGGUGCCUUCGGGAACUGUGAGACAGGUGCUGCAUGGCUGUCGUCAGCUCGUGUUGUGAAAUGUUGGGUUAAGUCCCGCAACGAGCGCAACCCUUAUCCUUUGUUGCCAGCGGUCCGGCCGGGAACUCAAAGGAGACUGCCAGUGAUAAACUGGAGGAAGGUGGGGAUGACGUCAAGUCAUCAUGGCCCUUACGACCAGGGCUACACACGUGCUACAAUGGCAUAUACAAAGAGAAGCGACCUCGCGAGAGCAAGCGGACCUCAUAAAGUAUGUCGUAGUCCGGAUUGGAGUCUGCAACUCGACUCCAUGAAGUCGGAAUCGCUAGUAAUCGUAGAUCAGAAUGCUACGGUGAAUACGUUCCCGGGCCUUGUACACACCGCCCGUCACACCAUGGGAGUGGGUUGCAAAAGAAGUAGGUAGCUUAACCUUCGGGAGGGCGCUUACCACUUUGUGAUUCAUGACUGGGGUGAAGUCGUAACAAGGUAACCGUAGGGGAACCUGCGGUUG